GCUUAGCCACAAACUUUUAAUUACACCUCAAACGCCAGGGAACUACGAGCAAAGCUUAAAACCCAAAGGACUUGACGGUGCCCCAUAUCCCCCUAGAGGAGCCUGUCCUAUAAUCGAUAACCCCCGUUCAACCUCACCAUUUUUAGCCUAAUCAGUCUGUAUACCUCCGUCGUCAGCUUACCACGUGAGUGCGAUAUCGUAAGUUUAAUGUCUUAUAACUCGUCAAUACGUCAGGUCAAGGUGCAGCUAAUAAAGUGGGAAGAGAUGGGCUACACUCUCUAAUUUAGAACACACAAAAGACUAUUAUGAAAACUAGUCUAAAGGUGGAUUUAGCAGUAAAAAAAGACCAGAGUGCUUUUUUUAACUAGGCCCUGGGGUGUGUACACACCGCCCGUCACCCUCUUCGCAGCCACAAUUAAGUAAUUAACAAAAUUUGCACAGUAGAAGAGGUAAGUCGUAACAUGGUAAGUAUACCGGAAGGUGUGCUUGGAAA
rnacentral:rRNA from 1 species